CACAGCUAUUUUGGAAGGUACUCAGGCGUUACAAAUGCACGUACAUUUUCACAAACUGAUUAUCUCUAUGUGUAAAAUCAAUGGUAAGGUUGUAUAUUUAAUCAAUAUUUAGUCCCAGAUAUUGACUGCAGAAUGACAUAAUAUAAUUUUAGAAAAAUUUGUCUUGUUUAUUUCGUUAUUCUGAGAGUGGCAGUUUAGUAUAAUGGCUAAGGAGUUGAUCUUGCAACCUAAAGGCCGCAGGCUCGAUUAUCCGGUAGAACAAUGCCGUUGUACCCUUGAGCAAGGUACUUAACCUGCAUUGCUCCAAUAUAUAUCCAGCUGUAUAAUUGGAUACAAUGUAAGUCGCUGUGGAUAAGAGGGUCUGCUAAAUGCCUGUAAUGUAAUGUUAUUCAGUGAGCAGCGUUUUCGCUGCUGUAUUGGAAUAUCUUAAGUGAAUGCGAUGCUGAGAACGAUUGCGGGCAGAACAAAUUGUUUGUUUUGCUGAAGACAGUUGCUAGCGGCCGACGGCUUUUGGUGGAGAGAUUGCAACGUGCAGCUGUAAAUUUUCCAUCAUUUCGGGAACUCUUUUAUGAGCUUGGAAGCAGUCACUUUGAUUGUUGAAGUGUAGUCAGAAACUGUACUUCCCUGUUCUUCUUUCCUGGAAGCAUAUCUGUUGCAUGGCUUCGGCCAUGGGGGGGAAUGGGGCGAACCAGGGCAGGGAAAAAAGUGGGAGAGUGUUCUAAAUCAGUGGGAAAGCGAGAUAGAGCUGAUGCUUUGUUGGAAAAGGAGGGAAACAGGAUUUUGAAAAUGGCCAUGGCAUGGAGGAACAUAGAGUUAUUCUCAAACUGAAAGACCAGGUUGGGGUAGGGUUUAAAGCACUGAAUCUUUUGAAAGUGGCGGUGUGUUGGUGAAGGGCUAGAUGCUCGGAUUCUCCCUAAUGGGGCGAUACUAGUGAUUUGUAAAAGUGUGGAUCAACUAGGAAAAAUAAAGAGAAUUGGGAAGAUAGGAGGGAAAAAAGUGGAAGUAGUAAUUCCAGAAAAGAAAAAUGUGGUAAAAGGUGUUAUCUAUGGAGUUUGUGCUGACAUCACAGAGAGAAAAAUUAAGGAAAAUAUUAAGGGAGGGGAAGUAAAUGAUGUGAAGAAGGUGGAAAUCCCAAUGCCCCAGUUUUGAUAGCCUUUGAUGGAAAUGUACUCUCAGCAAGGGUGUUCAUAGGAUGCCUAUCUUUUCAAGUUAGGGUUUAUCAAAGACCCCCACUACGUUGUUUUAAAUGCCAAAGAUAUGGGCAUAUGGCUGCCAGAGGUGGUGGUAGCAGACCGUGUGCAAAAUGCGGAGGAGAUCAUGACAUCCUGAACUGUAAUUGUGGGGGAAGUCAUAUGGUUUCGUUUUGAGAAUGCUAUCACUUUGUCAAAGCAAAACAAGUUCAGGAGGUCAGAGAUCAGCACAAAAUCUUGUACGCAGAAACCCUAAAAAAAAGUGGAGGGAUCUAGUGAUUCAGGGAUUCUGGAAGAACACCUAGGGGCAGAUCCUUGAUGUCUCAUCUGCCUUCUUCUGUCAUGUCUGAUUGGGAAGUAAUAAUCAACAAGGAAUCCUGUCUUGUGUUUAUGGUUGAUGUGAUCUAUGGUGUUCGCAAUAACAAAACAAGGUCUGAUAUAAUUAAGUUUGUGUCUGAAGCAGUCAGGUUCUUGAGUCUAAAGGAUUAUUCUCCCCAGUCUCUACAUGAGUUUAUGAGUGCAAGCCAAGCAACAACAAGCCAUGCUGAGAGGGGGGAUGGGAUGGAAGAAGGAGUGGAUACGGAUGAGGGUGACCUCCUUGAUGAUAUUGAUGAUGUUUAAAAAAUUUUCAUGAUGAUCGGCAUCCUUCAAUGGAAUGCAAGAAGUCUUAUUGCUAAUGGUCACAAAUUUAAGAAAUUAAUUCAGGAUUGUCAGAUUAAACCUGACUUUUUAUGUGUUCAGGAAACAUGGCUAAAACCUUGCCUUGAUUUUGUAAUUCCAGGUUAUGUAUAUCUGCACAAAGAUAGACCUGAUAGGUCAGGUGGUGGGUGUGCUACUUUUAUCAAGUCAGGGAUUCAGUAUAAAGUUUGUGAGUGUGAGGUGUCUAUUGAAUGCUUAAUAGUUGAAGUGUGGAGUUCUCAGGUUAAAAUAAAUUUAAUCAACUUCUAUAAUCCGUGUAAGCCUCUAGUUCUGUCUGAACUUCAGGAUAUAGUAAAUAAAUUUGGCUCCUUUGUCAUCUGGGUAGGUGAUUUGAAUGCUCAUAACCCCUUGUGGGGAAGUCAGGAUAUACAGUGGGCUCCAGAAUUAUUGGCACCCUCAAUAAAAAUGAAGAAAAAAGGUUACAUAUAAUAAAUCACACAGAUAAUAAUCUAUAUGUUAUGGUCAAACAUAUGGGAAAACUAUAUACUUUUAUUUCAAUACAUUUACUCAUGCUUCAAUGUUUUUUUUAAUUAAGUAAUCUAAUUUUUUUCUGAAAACCAUAAGUGCCAUAAUUAUUGGCACCCCUAACAAUUAUUGUAAGUAAAAUCAAACAAACUGAAAUCGGCAAUACAAUUUUACUUAAUUUAGUUAAUCUCAUCCUAAAGGAACUAUUGUGUCAUUCCAUCACUUCCAGUUUCACUAGAGAAUAAAAAUGAGCAUAAGCAUACAAAAUCCCUUUGUCAUCCAUCAGCAUGGAAAAAGUCAAAUAAUUGUCAAUUCAGAAGAGACCGAUGGUAAUUUACCGUCACAAGUCAGGUAAUGGGUACAAAAAAGACAUACACGGUUAAACAUACCACUUAGCACUGUACGGGCAAUAAUAAAAAGAUGUAAAACAUAUGGAAUGGUUGCAAAUUUGCCAGAAAGAGGAAGCAAGUGCAUGGUGUCCCCACGGACAGUGAGGAAGAUGGUGAGAGAGGCCAUUAAUAACCCAAGGAUCACUGUUUAAGAAUUGCAGAGAUUGGUUUGUUUCUUGUGGCCAACAAGUCUAAAAAAAAACAUAAAAUGGCACCUCCAUACCAACUAACUCUUUGGAAGGGUGGCACGAAGACAGCCCUUACUGAGCACAAUAAACAAAACCAAGAAUCUGGAGCUUGUCAAACCUUACUGGAUUUAUGACUGGAAGAGAGUGCUAUUGUCAGAUGAGACCAAAAUUGAAGGUUUUGGCCAUACACACCAUCAACAUGUUUGGCGGCAAAAGAGGAAUGCAUACAAGAGAAGCACCUCAUACCUACAGUCAAAUAUGGAGGUGGGUCAUUGAUAUCUUGGAGGUGUUUUGCUGGCAGUGGUCCCGGGGCACUAUUUUAGAUCAAUGGCACAAUGAAUUCAACAAAGUACCAGGAAAUUCUGGCAGAAAAUGUAGCUGUCUCUGCUAAGAAGCUAGGACUUGGUCAUAGGUAGAUUGUCCAGCAGGACAAUGACUCCAAGCACACAUCAAAAUCUAAACAGAAAUGCUUAAGUGAAAUCAACAUCCAUGUUUUCCAAUGGUCAUCUCAGUCUCCAGACUUAAAUUCCAUCAAAAACCUGUGGUCUGAACUGAAGAGGGGGGGGUCCAUAAGCGCAAACCCAAAGAUAUCAAUGAUUCUGAAAAGUUCUACAUGGAGCAAUGGUCAAAAAUCCCUCCAAAUGUGUUCUCUAAACUUAUGAGAAAUUAUAGGAAAAGACUCAUGGCUGUCAUCUUUGCCAGGGGUGUUUACACAAAGUAUUAAACCAGGGGUGCCAAUAAUUGUGGAACCUGUUUCUUGGGGAAACAUUUUUUUUAAAUUAAAAAAUGUAAGACUUUGGUUGAUUCCAAUGAAUCAUUAAUCAAGCACACUAGUUCACACAUGUUGUAAAAUAAAGCUUAUGUCAAUAACUAUUAUUUUUUAGUUUAGUAAUGUUUUUUAGCAUUUUUGUGCAUAUUUAUCAAGGGUGCCAAUCAUUCUGGAGCCCACUGUAGAUGCAAACGGUGUUGUGAUUGAAGAAUUUUUAGAUAUUGGUAAUCUAGUAAUUAUGAAUGACAGCAGACUAACUCGAUUUGAAAUUAAGUCUUCUAAAAUGUCUUGUUUAGACUUUACGCUAGCUUCACCAGCCUUAGCAAGAGUUGGGGAAUGGAAUGUCCUGGGAAAAGACUCAAUGGGUAGUGAUCACUUUCCUGUUCUGAGCCAUUUUGGAAGGUCCCUAAUUAGGGAUCCUGGGGACAGAAUUAAAAGAUUUGAUAUUUCCCGAGUUAAAUGGGACAAGUUUAAGGAAGGUACAGUAGAAGGAUUAGGGGAAAUCAAUAGUGAUGUAUCAAUAGAUUAGUAUAAUGACUCUUUAAUUGAAAUGAUUUUGAGGGUGGCCUCAGAGGCAAUCCCUUGCAGAGAGGCCCCCAAGGAUCGUGUUACUGUUCCAUGGUGGAAUAGGGAUUGUGAUAAGGCAGUGAAGAAGAGGAAGCAAGCAUUUAGAAGUUUACGUAGGAAUCCUACUCAGGAAAAUGCUAUUGAAUACAAGCGAUGCAGAGCAUUGGCGAGGAAAACUAUUAAAGAUGCAAAAAAGAAAUGUUGGAGGACAUUUUGUGGAACUCUAGGUUUGGAUACACCAAUCAGGCGGAUAUGGGACAGAAUCCAUAAUAUGUCUGGAAAAGUUGUUAAGACAGCAAUGCCAGUGCUGAAUGAUGGUUGUACUGAGGCAGUAAAUAGUAAAGAAAAAGCAGAUAUGUGUGUUAAGAUUUUUCAGGAUGUUCGUAAUUUUAAGCCACUAGAAGAGGGCUUUAGGAUAAAGGAAGAAGUCUUGAAAGUAGAAAAAUGGAAAUUAAAUUAUGUAUGGGAAGGAAACAGCUCACAUAAUGUGUUUUUCUCUUUGAAAAAGCUUAAGGAUGCUGUGCAGGCGGGGGCAACUACCACUCCAGGCCAAGAUAAGAUGAGCUAUGAACUGCUUAAACAUCUAGAUGAUAUUGUGUUAGAAGAAAUUCUUGUUCUUUUUAACUAUAUCUGGGGGAUAAAUUACCAACCAAAUGGAAACAUGCAGUAGCGUGUCCAAUUUUGAAACCAGGAA